GUCACAACAGGACAUCCUGAUGUGAGUAAAGGCGCAAGCCGCUCAAUGACGGGCUCGCGGCCUAUUAGCUUGUUGGUGGGGUAACGGCCUACCAAGGCGAUGAUGGGUAGCUGGUCUGAGAGGACGAUCAGCCACACUGGGACUGAGACACGGCCCAGACUCCUACGGGAGGCAGCAGUUAGGAAUUUUCCGCAAUGGGCGAAAGCCUGACGGAGCAACGCCGCGUGAGUGAUGAAGACCUUCGGGUUUGUAAAGCUCUGUCGGAGGGGAAAGAACACAAUGACGGUACCCUCCAAGAAAGCCCCGGCUAACUACGUGCCAGCAGCCGCGGUAAUACGUAGGGGGCGAGCGUUAUCCGGAUUUACUGGGCGUAAAGCGCGUUAAGGCGGCCGACAAAGUUGGUGGUGAAAUUUCAGGGCUCAACUCUGAAACUGCCUCCAAUACUGGUUGGCUUGAGUGCG
rnacentral:rRNA from 1 species